rnacentral:rRNA from 1 species
UGGGGAAUAUUGCACAAUGGGGGAAACCCUGAUGCAGCAACGCCGCGUGAGUGAAGAAGUAUUUCGGUAUGUAAAGCUCUAUCAGCAGGGAAGAUAAUGACGGUACCUGACUAAGAAGCUCCGGCUAAAUACGUGCCAGCAGCCGCGGUAAUACGUAUGGAGCAAGCGUUAUCCGGAUUUACUGGGUGUAAAGGGUGCGUAGGUGGCAGUGCAAGUCAGAUGUGAAAGGCCGGGGCUCAACCCCGGAGCUGCAUUUGAAACUGCAUAGCUGGAGUACAGGAGAGGCAGGCGGAAUUCCUAGUGUAGCGGUGAAAUGCGUAGAUAUUAGGAGGAACACCAGUGGCGAAGGCGGCCUGCUGGACUGUUACUGACACUGAGGCACGAAAGCGUGGGGAGCAAA